rnacentral:tRNA from 1 species
CAGGGAGACAACAAAAUGUUUAAUAUUAUUAUUUUGUCACCUUAGGUCGAUCGGUAUCUCACGUUCUUAGUUUAUUAAGAAUUUCAUUUCCUAAGUUUUUCUAGGUCACACCCAUUAUUUUCCUGGGCCAUUAGCUCAGGUGGUUAGAGCGCACCCCUGAUAAGGGUGAGGUCCCUGGUUCAAGUCCAGGAUGGCCCAUAUCUCUAUGUUGGGGGUAUAGCUCAGUUGGUAGAGCGCCUGCUUUGCAAGCAGGAUGUCAGCGGUUCGAGUCCGCUUACCUCCACUGAUUACCACCUCUUCCAUAACCGGUAGAAAGGAAAUGUUUUGUGUUGUGAUCAUUAUUCUGAAAGAAUCUAGCUUCCUAAUGAAAUCAUUAAGAUGCUGGACUCAUUGAAUUAAUUUCAUUGUUUUCAGAGAACCUUGACAACUGCAUAGAUUAUUUUUAAAGACAAUAAGCAUCUUUAAUGAUGCAGAUUUAUUAUUUGUGCGAAUGCAUUAAUAACAAUUCUAUUGAGCUGAUGCUUCAAUUUUUGAAGUUAUU